CUUCGGUCUGCUACCUCUUACCCAUGUCUUUUGAGUACCUUCGUUUCCUCGGCGGGUCCGCCCGCCGAUUGGACAACAUUCAAACCCUUUGCAGUUGCAAUCAGCGUCUGAAAAAACAUAAUAGUUACAACUUUCAACAACGGAUCUCUUGGUUCUGGCAUCGAUGAAGAACGCAGCGAAAUGCGAUAAGUAGUGUGAAUUGCAGAAUUCAGUGAAUCAUCGAAUCUUUGAACGCACAUUGCGCCCCUUGGUAUUCCAUGGGGCAUGCCUGUUCGAGCGUCAUUUGUACCUUCAAGCUCUGCUUGGUGUUGGGUGUUUGUCUCGCCUCUGCGUGUAGACUCGCCUUAAAACAAUUGGCAGCCGGCGUAUUGAUUUCCGAGCGCAGUACAUCUCGCGCUUUGCACUCAUAACGACCACGUCCAAAAGUACAUUUUUACACUCUUGACCUCGGAUCAGGUAGGGAUACCCGCUGAACUUU
rnacentral:rRNA from 1 species